CACGUAGGAGGCGAGCGUUGUCCGGAAUCAUUGGGCGUAAAGAGCGCGCAGGCGGCCCGGCAAGUCGGGUGUGAAAUCCCGGGGCUCAACCCCGGGACUGCAUUCGAUACUGGCGAGCUUGAGUGCGGGAGAGGGAAGCGGAAUUCCUGGUGUAGAGGUGAAAUGCGCAGAUAUCGGGAGGAACACCCGUAGCGAAGGCGGCACUCUGGGCAUUAACUGACGCUGAGGAGCGAAAGCAUGGGGAGCGAACAGG
rnacentral:rRNA from 1 species